UGGGGCGUCGCCAAGUGGUAAGGCAGCGGAUUUUGAUUCCGCCAUUCGGAGGUUCGAAUCCUCCCGCCCCAGCCA
rnacentral:tRNA from 1 species